rnacentral:rRNA from 1 species
GACGAACGCUGGCGGCGUGCUUAACACAUGCAAGUCGAACGGAAAGGCCCUGCUUUUGUGGGGUGCUCGAGUGGCGAACGGGUGAGUAACACGUGAGUAACCUGCCCUUGACUUUGGGAUAACUUCAGGAAACUGGGGCUAAUACCGGAUAGGAGCUCCUGCUGCAUGGUGGGGGUUGGAAAGUUUCGGCGGUUGGGGAUGGACUCGCGGCUUAUCAGCUUGUUGGUGGGGUAGUGGCUUACCAAGGCUUUGACGGGUAGCCGACCUGAGAGGGUGACCGGCCACAUUGGGACUGAGGUACGGCGCAGACUCGUACGGGAGGCAGCGGUGGGAAAUAUUGCACAAUGGGCGGAAGCCUGAUGCAGCAACGCCGCGUGCGGGAUGACGGCCUUCGGGUUGUAAACCGCUUUCGCCUGUGACGAAGCGUGAGUGACGGUAAUGGGUAAAGAAGCACCGGCUAACUACGUG